ACAGGACUUGCCAUCCUCGUGAUGUCAUACAGAGAAGUCACAGGGCAGUGACUGAGGGUCUGU
rfam:Equus caballus chromosome 6, whole genome shotgun sequence.